ensembl:lncRNA
CAUUGGUUCACAUUUCAUAUUCAAGUCUGUCUGAAUGUGAAAAGAAAGGUGAGUUUAUGGGUUGAUUUAAUAUUUCUGUGCCAUUAUGUCAAGAAGAUCCCUUGGAGAAGGGAAUGGCAACCCACUCCAAUAUUCUUGCCUAAGAAAUCCCAUGGGCAGAGGAGCCUGGCGGGCUACAGUCUUUGGGAUUGCAGAGUCGGACACGCCCGAGUGACUAGCACUUUGACUUUGGAAUGGUUUUCACAAAACAGCAGAGCAAGGUCCCAGAUCCUUCUGUUGGCAACAAGGUAGUCACGUCGGAAGAACAUUUUCUUUCUUUUUUUUUUUGGCUGCACUGUGCAACUUUUGGGGUCUUAGUUUCCUGACCAGGUACUGAACCCAGGCCCUAGGCAAUGAAAGCACAGAAUCCCAACCACUGGACCACCAUGGAAUUCCUCCAGUGAACAUUUUCAUGGUAUGGAUUCAACUACGUGUCCACUCAGCAAAGAAAGAAUGUCAACAGUUUUGUCAGUGCCUGCCGUUUUGCUUUCUGCUUUUCAGUUGUUUAGACAUAUGUUCUGUGUGUGUGUUAGGAAAGUGGUACAGGGAGGUUUGUGUUUCCACAGCCCAGUUUCAGUUCCCGUGUGCCCGUCACGGUGGGUGUAUCUCAUCUUCCUGUGUGUGGUUCUAGUGUUGAAGAUAGGUGUUGUCCAUAAAAGUGGCCCAUUUCAAAGCCAGUCACAGAAUUCACCUGCUGUUUAACUGGAAAAAACAAACCAGCCAGCAGUCUCUUCCACUGCUUCUGGAAAAAACUGCCUCCGUUAAGACGUACUGACAGAUGCUGUCUGGAUCUCGGUCACAACCCAUACCCGAUGGAAGCUGAAAGGCUCUCCCUUCUCCAGAGUCCACUUCGUCUUCAGUCCACACAAGGGGGGCCCCUUUUGCCCCAAGGAUGUCUUCAUGGAGCCUCAUGUUAUAGCAUUCUUAUUAUUUAAAUAGAGGGUGUCAUUCAGAGAAGAGAACAAGAGCUGUUGCUCAAAUCCUGGCUUUUGUUCCCAGCACCCAAAUUAGAGCUUGUGCCCAACUCUGAGCCAUCACCGCAGCCAGGAAAACAGGAUGGUCUUCAACCUACCUGGGUCCUUUCUGGAGCUCAGCAUGCCUAUGUGACUGAAAGGGUAAACGGCCCAAUGGAAAACCAGGGUCUCAAUAUAGCA